GAGUUUGAUCGUGGCUCAGGAUGAACGCCGGCGGUGUGCCUAAUACAUGCAAGUCGUAUGCACUGGCCCAACUGAUUGAUGGUGCUUGCACCUGAUUGACGAUGGAUUACCAGUGAGUGGCGGACGGGUGAGUAACACGUAGGUAACCUGCCCCGGAGCGGGGGAUAACAUUUGGAAACAGGUGCUAAUACCGCAUAACAACGAAAACCACAUGGUUUUCGUUCAAAGAUGGUUUCGGCUAUCACUCUGGGAUGGACCUGCGGUGCAUUAGCUAGUUGGUAAGUACGCUUACCAAGGCAUGAUGCAUAGCCGAGUUGAGAGACUGAUCGG
rnacentral:rRNA from 1 species